AUUGAACGCUGGCGGCAGGCCUAACACAUGCAAGUCGAACGAGUGGCGGACGGGUGAGUAAUGUCUGGGAAACUGCCUGAUGGAGGGGGAUAACUACUGGAAACGGUAGCUAAUACCGCAUACCAUCGGAUGUGCCCAGAUGGGAUUAGCAAGUAGGUGGGGUAAAGGCUCACCUAGGCGACGAUCCCUAGCUGGUCUGAGAGGAUGACCAGCAAACAUGGAACGGAGAAACGGUACAGAAUCCUACGGGAGGCAGCAGUGGGGAAUAUUGAACAAUGGGCGCAAGCCUGAUGCAGCCAUGCCGCGUGGAGGAAGAAGGCCGUCGGGUUGUAAAGUACUUUCAGCGGGGAGGCGUUACCCGCAGAAGAAGCACCGGCUAACUCCGUGCCAGCCGCCGCGGUAAUAC
rnacentral:rRNA from 1 species